CUCAGGGCUGGGUGAAAUUCCCGACCGGCGGUAUACCCCGCGAGCCGUUUGGCUGAACCGGUCUGAUUCCGGUGGCGACAGUAAAGUCUGGAUGGAAGAGA
rnacentral:ncRNA from 1 species